rnacentral:rRNA from 1 species
UACAGAGGUCCCAAGCGUUGUUCGGAUUCAUUGGGCGUAAAGGGUGCGUAGGCGGCGCGGGAAGUCGGGUGUGAAAUCUCGGAGCUUAACUCCGAAACUGCAUUCGAUACUGCCGUGCUUGAGGACUGGAGAGGAGACUGGAAUUUACGGUGUAGCGGUGAAAUGCGUAGAUAUCUGGAGGAACACCGGUGGCGAAGGCGGCAUCCUGGACCAACACUGACGCUGAGGAGCGAAAGCCAGGGGAGCAAACAGG